UCAACAUUGACCGUUUGAAGAUCUUGGCUGAUCCUGGUUUGCCCCUGAGGGGUUUACUUCAGGAGGCGGUCCUGUUUUGCAGCAUCCCUGGCCUCAACCCAACUGAUGCCAAGAACACCACACUCUCCUCCCACUGAGCUGAGACAACCAAAAAUGCCUCUAGACAUUGCCAAAUAUUUCUGGCUUUGGCCAGUGGGCAGCUCCUGCAGUUACUCAUGGUCCACUGUGGCCCAGAAGAACAUGAUCCUUCUCCUGACCCAUCAU